AACGAACGCUGGCGGCAGGCCUAACACAUGCAAGUCGAGCGAGGACUUCGGUUCUAGCGGCGGACGGGUGAGUAACGCGUGGGAAUGUGCCCUUCUCUACGGAAUAGCCCUGGGAAACUGGGAGUAAUACCGUAUACGCCCUAUUGGGGAAAGAUUUAUCGGAGAAGGAUCAGCCCGCGUUGGAUUAGGUAGUUGGUGGGGUAAUGGCCUACCAAGCCGACGAUCCAUAGCUGGUUUGAGAGGAUGAUCAGCCACACUGGAACUGAGACACGGCCCAGACUCCUACGGGAGGCAGCAGUGGGGAAUCUUAGACAAUGGGGGCAACCCUGAUCUAGCCAUGCCGCGUGAGUGAUGAAGGCCUUAGGGUUGUAAAGCUCUUUCAGCUGGGAAGAUAAUGACGGGACCAGCAGAAGAAGCCCCGGCUAACUCCGU
rnacentral:rRNA from 1 species